CAGAGACCAUCAGGAGGUCAUUGAAACACAGACGGUUGUUGGAUUUAAAUAAGGACUACAUAAUUUUAUGACCAUUAACAAGACUCGCUGCUCUGCAAGCUAGAAUAAUAAGGGCAAUCAUAUCUCAUGGUUCGAGGAGCAAGCUGAUUGCCUGUAGGGACUGCAAAGCUCAGCAUGCACGUCCCUUGCCUCAGCUCAUUCUGGGACUCACGCUGCAGCCCUUGGGGCCCUACGUGAUCGCUCCCAUCCCGCUGUUGGAAGCAGUGCCCUUGAUUGGCAUGCUCUGAAGUGACAGCUCCGCUUGCUGAGUCCCAGCAGGGAAGGAGCAGCCUUGGAGAGGAGGCGAUGGCAAGGAAUGAACCAAACCCACAGAGAACAGCACUGCUCAUCCUGGCAGCAAGGAGGAGGAGAGAGAAGAGCCAUCCAGAUAACGCCUCCCUGGAGUGGAUCCAUCCUGCCAGUGUCUUUGGGUACACCUGCAGGGCAGCACUGUGGCCCUGGCCAGCCGAGAUGAUGUCAGGCUUAUGUGGCCAGCAUGUGGGCACUGAGAACUUCUUUGCUCCUAGCUGCUCCUACACAUCUCCUCUGAUCUGCAGUACCCAUACCGGAGCCCAGAUCUGUGAUUUGCCUUGCUGACCCCCAACUCUGCUCCAUGAUGCUCUCUUGCAGUACUCUCCCGUGUUUCUCCAACUCAGCAGCAUAAGUUUGUGAUGUCUGUGAAGCUGCAGCCUGCACAGGAUGAAUAGCAACAACCCAAUCCUGGCUGCAAAUACACAGCAAAGGAAGGAAAAAGCAAAGCUGUGAUUCCAAAAACCAGUGCAGACUGGCUGGGCCUCAUGCCAAAACCGUGGGUCUCUGGGCAGUGCUCAGCCCACCAGCAGCUUCCAGGCAGACAGUGCUGCUGAGCAGUGACAGAUGGACAGGAAAACGUGCUGCAGACACAGGACUUCAUGCUGACAGCCCGUUCUAAUUCCCUGUGCAGCCCCUGCAGUUACUGUGCUAUUCUUUUGACACAACAUGAGCAGACAUGUGAUGGACUCAGUCCCAGGGAUGUCCUAUGCCAGUACACAGCGGGUCAUGUUUACUGCUGCUGGUGAUGUGGGGACGGCUCCUUCCCACCUGCUGAAGACACUCUGCUGUCCCUUCGGAGCAGUCUGUUGUGGCUCAGCUGUCCUGAGCAACCCUGUGAGCUUUGCUGCAAGCUCUGGAGUUUGUCAUGAAUGUUUGCUGCACCGUGCAAGGCCAGACGAUUCCUGCACUACUUCCACCAAUUUGAGAGUAACUGGAUGCUUUCACCCCUGGGUUUUGGUUAUGGUGUGUGUUUGUCCUGUCCAUUACAGCAAGUAUUUAAGACAAGCAUGUCUUAGACCGUGAAAUGACUUGCAUGAGAGAGAUAAAACACUGGAAAUUAAGAGGAAGCAGAAGCCAGCAAUGCAAAGAUCAUUGGAAAAGCCUGUUCAGCAUGGACCGAAGAGCUCCAAUCCAGGUAUCAUAUACAGCCUCAUCAAAGCCAGACUAAAGGUGUCCUCUGAAUAAAUGAACCUACCAAAAUGAGGAUCUGGAGGAGACUGACGAGCACUGGAGAACGCAUCCAGAAUACUUCAUCAGUGCCUUUUCCUAUCCACCUAAAAAUCCCAAAGGGCCUGCAGGCAAUUGGUAACAGUUCCUCAGAAAAAGGUCUAGGAAUUAUAGCAGGUCAUGAGCUGAACAUGAGCUAUCAGUGUUGCAUCAAGAGGCACGGUGCCCUGGGAGAUGUGUGCAGCAGCAUGACCUACCCAGGCUCACCACAUCAUCUCUCUUGCUUGUUCAGUGCUGGUGAGGUCUACAGCAGAGCAAAUUCCGGCAUCGGCAGCUCGUGUCAAAAGGGAGGCAGCAACACUGCAGUCAGCAUGCAGGGAACAGUGAGAAUGAUCAGAGGUCUACAAGACAUGACCUACAAAGGAAGAUUGAAAGAACUGGGUUAUUUAGCCUAAAAGAGAUGAUGGGAGAAGAGAUGUGAUAACAGUCUUCAAGUGCUUAAAAGGCUGCUGCCAAGGGGAAGAGAAUAAUCUGUUCUUUGUGUCCAUGGUGGACAGGACAAGAAAUAAUCGGCUUAAAUUACAGCAAGAGAAAUCAGGUUAGACACCGGGACAGAACCGGCGAGGCUGAAGCUGGGCGGAGAAAUGACGGCAAUGCUCUUGGAGGCAGAGGGGUUCUGUUGGGUUGGGAUGGCCGUGGGGAGAGGCUGAUGUACUUCCACAUCCCUGCAAGGCCUUUGACACAAGGUUUGGUGUUGCUGCAUUUCCCAGAGCAAGGUCAUGCUGCAGCCAUCGCUGCUGGGAGGAUGAAUCCCAGCCACUUUGUCUUGUGAGGACUUCCAAGACGGCAAAACAUGGUUUUGUGGCAAACUGAGAGCACAAGUCAGCAUUUUCAGUUAUUCUUCUUGCAGUGAAAAAAUACUUGAAAAUGGAUUAUUUUUUUUUCUCCCAUCUAUUUCAGCCAUCCUAUUGUAACACAAACAGAGCAGAGUGCCCCAGCCGUGCCCCAUGGGCAGGCCAAAAUGACACAGCCCAAACAAAACCUGUUUGAUAACGUCCUUGCUGAAAACAUCAGUGAACUCGCUCUCUUCCCUUCCAAACAAUUAGAUGGAGCUGACACACCAUUUUCUGAGUGAGGAGAUUGCCCUGAGAUGUUUUCCAACUGGCUCAGAGGGUUCUUGCUACCUGAGAGGCAAAAAGAAAAGGAAAGGCACGCACUUGUCCAAGAGCAGCUCUGCUUCUGCUGGCAGCGCAGUGCUGCUGAGUGCGCACCGCUGGCCAAAGAUUGAGAGAUGCUGUGUUCUCAGGAGAGAUGGUUAUUACCACUGGAUUCCAAGAGCAAUCCUUUAUUUUAAAACCUGCCUCCUAAUUCAUUUUAUAUUUACCCAUAAAAUGUUGGCCAAGGUUUCUGAGAGCUGCAGUCUUUUGGAAAGGCCAAGUCUCCAGCGGAGCUGACUCAGCAGUAGCUCUCCUGAUUGAAGCGGUGUGAAUUCGUACCACCCCUGGGCAGGGAUGGAAACAGAGGAGCUGGGCUCUCCCUGCCUUUGUUUUCUGCAAGGAGCAAAGCUUGCUGCUGGCCUGCAGGGCUGGGAAGGGGACUGACAAAGCGCAUAAUUCUCCCUGCUUGUUUCCCCCCUGCUGUGCAUCCCAACUUUUGUU